AGAGGGGGAGAGAGAGAGAGAGAGAGAGAGAGAGAGAGAGAGAGAGAGAGAGAAAAUAAAAAUAAAAACAAAGUCAGAAAGGAGAAAAGUACCGAGCACAAGUUGAGCACACAGAAACCAAACCAGCCAAAACAACGGAGUUAAAAGUUGUGAGGAAAAAAUGUUAUUAAAUUUAAAAAUGAAAAAGCAUGAACCAAGAGCAACGUUUAGAGAAGGAAGAGGAGGCGGCGAGGCCGGGGAUUUGAGGGGGCGCCGGGAGGCCCCGCUCCCGCCGGAGGCAACAGAACCGUAGCGAGCCAACGGAGGGAGAAGUGGAGUUAGUGUGAGGAGGAAGCCCCGGAUCCCACCCCUAACCCCCCUUCGCCUCCUCUGAGGAUCCAAUAAAUCAAAAGGCGAAAUGAAACAAAAUAAAGAGAAGAAAAACGCUAAUAAUCAGCACGAGAACGCCGAGGACUAGGAAAGACUAGGGCCAGUGCCUCCCCGGGGGCAGGGAGCGGAGGGUGGGGGGGCGAAUAACGUGAAAGUUACCAGAAACAUUAUUUAGCAGCGGAUUCCCUGCGUCCUUGUCAAUUUCAGAGACAAAACAAGCAGCCCAGGCUAGUAGUCUAGGCGGCGGCGCAGCGGCUGCGGCAGCGCGGCCCCAGCGGCGGCCCCGGCGGCGGCUCCUACGCAGCCCGUGCCCGCCCCGAGCCGCGCGAGCCACGGCGGCAGCGGCGCAGCAGCGGCAGCAGGAGAACCGGGGGAAUCGCGCUGCUGGGGUAAAAGCUGGAGCGAGGCGAAAGCGUGUAACGAUUGCACACGCACACACACACACCACUCACACGCACUCGCCGCCCGCCCGCUCGCACAGCGCUGGAACACGCGCGCCCAGACACGCACACACGCACGCACACACACUCGCACACACGCAGAGGCACGGGAGGGAAAGAAGCCGAUGAAUAAUUUUGCUAUUUUUUAAAAUACUGGCCGCCAUCAUCAAGCAGCGAGCAGCAGCAGAAGCGUUGAAGGGAGAGGAGGCAUCGGGACAGGCCCCUCUUAGGAGAGGAUUUAUAUCUAGUUGGAAAAAAAAAGAAAGAAAAGAAAAAGAAGAAAAAGAAGAAAAAAAUUGUCAAGCCCCCGAACUGAAGGUUACGAGCGGCCCGUCAGCAGCCCACAUGUAACCGAACUGUCGUGUUUCAUGGCUUUUUGCCACUCCAGCUGUCAAUCAAAGCCCGGAAUGUCAAGGUAGUGAAUGAAUGAUGGUUGAUGAUGAUGAAGAGGAGGAAUCUUUCAGACCCGUUUUUUUCUUCCAGUAAAACUCCGCGAGGGGUUUCUGCUUCUUGAAUUUUUUCCUCCCCCCUCCCCCCUUUUUUAGCUUUGCCCCCGCGGUAUCUAUAAUACGAUCCUCUCUCUUUAAAGUAUUGUUCAAAGAAAGCAGUGAGAAAAAUCAA
rnacentral:lncRNA from 1 species